AACAAAUCGGGCGAACGAGGCUCCCUCGCACACAACGAAAAAAAAUCGGACCCCCGACCUACCUCUCCCAACUCCCAAGCCCUCCCUUCCUGCGCCGCCGCCCCUACGGAUAAGCCGGCCAACGCAGCCUCCCUCCCCAGCCAGCCGCCACGGCGCCACCACCUCCUCCCCCUGCAGCCAUGUACAUCGGGAGCCGACCACGCGCCUGGCCUAGGUGGGUCUCAGCCUCCCUCCCCCCUUCGUCCAAGGCCAGGAGCUCCCCUCCCCGACUGAUCGGAUGCAUCAAGGCAGUGGCGACGGUCGCACUGCUCCCCUAUAGAUCGAGCAAACCUACCCCCUCCCCUGCAUCGGUAGCGCCUGCAGACCCACCCUCCGCUCACCCUCACACCGGGCUCUCCACGUGCCUGUUCUUCUCUGAGGGGACCCUCAUCUCUCUCAGCCUCCGCGAGGAGAACCGCCCUGGCUUGCCCCUGGCCGUCGAUGUCCAGAUCAAGGUUUCCGUAGGAGGAACAAGGUUUGUUGUCGUCGGAUCCAUGAAGAUUUGACGCCUUCCUCGCGAUGGUGCUGGUUCAUCGGCCAGAUCCCAUCGGAGAGUAGGAGGUUCAUGGCGGAGGGCUGCACGGAGGAGAGGGACGACCUCGCAGGCACCGCGUCAUGCGACUGGCCCUUGUUACGCCAUGGCUAGCGACCCCGGCGACGCGUGCAAGGCCACCAGCGCGAAAAGCGGCGCCCAAGGACUGACACCUCGCCACGAUCGUCGGUGCCCAGUCGCACACCAAAGUCGGCAACUUUGACAAUCCAGUCAAUGCACUGAUGGAUGGAUCGUGCAGGUUGCUCUGGAGGUUGGUCUGAAGACACUGGUAGAAUUGCACAUGCAAGCUCUGAACAUUCAUGUCAUCUUUUCAGAUCAUCAGGUGAUUAGCCUGCUGCUUAGAUUAGGACACAACGGAAGCUUAUCAGCAUGUGUGCGACUGACAACCCAUUGCAGCUGUGCUUGGUCCAUGUGGACUAUUCUUUCCUCAACACAAGAAACGUUCAAUUAUCUUCGUGGGAAAUUAAUUGCACAAUUAUUUCAAACAAGGUUCAUAGUACAGUUACUCCUGCAUCUGCCCAACUAGGUCCAUUGUUGAUAUUGAUAUUCAUAAAUUAGCAACGACAACAAAAGUACCUUUAAGUGUUUGACCCCGACAGAGAUCUCAUUGAUAUUGCGGUCUUCAAUGUUCAGUAUGGGAGGAGUAUUAUAUUGAACAGAUGAGGUGGCAAAGGUACUCCCAACGAAUCAGCAGAAGAUUGCACUAUGAGGAUGCCGCAUAAUCAACUGCAAAAUAUGCAUGCACACAGAAUUCAGCAAGCCAACCUACAACGAUUCUCCAUGUUAAAAAGGAACAAGAAUUUUGGUAACAAUCAUGUCAAUGUGCUGAUGGAUAGACCGUGCAGGUCCCGUUGAAGCCUCGCGCCAAGCGGAAUAGUGGGAUGAGUGAAGGAAAUAUGCCCUAGAAGCAAUAAUAAAAUUGUUAUUUAUAUUACCUUAUAUUAUGAUAAAUGUUUAUUAUUCAUGCUAGAAUUGUAUUAACCGGAAACUUAAUACAUGUGUGGAUAAUAAAUGUUUAUUAUUCAUGC